rnacentral:rRNA from 1 species
AUGCCUGCGGUCGCCGCCGCCAGACUGAAGCGGGAGGACUGCCCCCGCACCAAACACGACUCCCUCUUCUCCCCGUGGAAGGUUCUUGUCGGGCCGUCGGACUGGGAGGACCACUCCGCCGGCAAGGAGGGGGUCCAGAGGUAUCACACACGCAACCUCCCGGACAACUUCCCUGGCCUCUACGAGCUGGGCGUUGCAAGGCCUUCCUAUGAUGGUGUCAGGGCUCGCAGGAAUCGAUCAGCUGUCGUCGUGGUGGUGUACCUCGGGCAGGCCGAUAAUGUCAGGGCGAGGCUCCAGCAGUACGGACGGACAGGGUCACACCUGGACACCGGGAAUCCAUUGGCUGCUGUCGGUAAAGCUGAGAUGAACGCCCUCACGGCAGGACCUGGAUUGUUCAGGGAAGUCUUCUCCAGAGGUUACUCCGUGAUGUUUCGAUGUGCGCUGAUGUGUUCCAAAAAAGCAGCUGAGAAGACUGAAGCUCAGCUACUGGGAGUAUUUGAUUAUGCAUGGAACAAACUUCAGAAUGGUGUGUGUCGUCGCGAAGAAAUACUGCUCAAGUUAGAACAGGGAAGCCAUAGAUUAUCUUUGCUUGGCAGAGUUCGGCACUUAAAACAGAGGGUGUUUGGAGAGAAAGCAGGUAUAAAGAUUAACAGCAGUGGGUCUGUUGAGAUUUCAUCUGGCAGUAUGAAAAAUAUGCUUCCAAGAGUCCGUGCGUUUGUCGGCUUCAGACCUCAUUUAGUUAACUCUGGUGGCGAUUUAAACGAGGCAACUGAUAUUCACCGGAAAUGCACAUCUCAGGCCAAUACUGCUGGUAAUAAACAAGCACAUAGAAGGUCUGAAGGAUACAAGGUGAAAAAGAUCGAUGUUAUUAAACGACGAACUGCGCCGAUACGAGAAGCCGAAGCUGUUUGUGGAGUAACGCUAGAAGAUGGUUCUUCUUGUUUGGAAGAUCCAUUGGAAGGAAGAAAGAGGUGUGAGUUGCACAAAGGUAGAAGAGUCAGAGUCGCAUACGGUCGCAAAGUAUCCUCUUCUAGCUCCACUUGCCAAGUUGCUAUUCCAACUGUUGAAUCCAUACCUCAACAAACUGCUAAUCCAAGCAAACCAGAUCAAGCAUGGCAAACCAGUGCAGACCAGUCCAAAAAUCUGUCGACAAAUGCAAAGGAGCCAUCACGUCAAAGGAACGGCUUCGAAGCAAAGGAGAUGAAAAUCGGAGAAGCUCCUGCAGAAGAUGAAGCAUAUGGAGCCUCCCAUGCAGAAUCUCAGUUCCACCAAGAUGAGCCUGUUGGAAGAAAGUGGUUUGAGCUGCUCAAAGCACAGAAAUCAGCCAGCGCACCAUCAUCGAGAGGCCAAGGAUGUCAGACAAGAGAAGCAAAUGACGACGCAUCAGCCAUAUGUGGAGUAGUGACAGAUAAUGGGUACUGCAAACUGGCACCAGUGACAGGAAGGGAAAGAUGCGAGGAGCACAGAGGAAUUGAGGUCACUGGUGCUUCAUCGGCACCAUGUUCCGGAAGGUUGGGAUGGCCAUCUAUCUGUGGAGCUCGAGCAUCCGAUGGUUCACCUUGCAAGAAUCAGCCAAUCGCAGGGAGGAAGAGAUGUGGGUUGCACAAAGGUCAAAGAGCGUGCUGCGCCUCCACGCCAUCCGUCAAAUAA